rnacentral:tRNA from 1 species
CCUGUGGGCAUAGUUUAAAGCAAAACACCAGGCCGUGAACCCGGAAAUAGAAGCCCGUCCC